rnacentral:lncRNA from 1 species
AACAGGACACAAUUGGAGAAACUGGUUAUUUUACCAAGGCUUUGACUGGAAUGGUGCACUUUCCUUUAAGGAUCAAACAUGACUUAUGGAGCCAAUUAAAUCCCCUUGGGAAAACUGGCCUCAUUGCUUGUCUACACAGUUCCUGUCCAGGGUUCCUGACUUACGGAUGUGAGACUUCACAACCUGCUAAAAAUGAACUUUCCUAAUAACUCGGGACCUACCCAUCUAGGAAUAAACCAUCCUAUUCAUGACAGUGCCUGUGAAAGAUAAAGGAGAAAGAAUCAGGGUUGGAGAACUGGAAAAGUCUUGGCCAACCAAAUAGGCAACCCUGCAGCAAAGAUUGCCCAUUAGAAGAGUCAAAUGCUAGGAAGAAAUUGCAAACCCUACUAUUCUCACUGUGCUCAAACUUCGACUAGGAACUUCCACAAAGAGUGUGGCCUUGGCUUGAACAUUGCAGCAGCAGAUUAUGUAGGUGCUGAACUUGGAGUUUUGCACUUCUCACAGCUGACAGCAAAUUCUUUCUUCAAGGGAGACCUGAGCAGUCCUCCAUAUCUGCCAAAUUACUGCAUAGGAACAAAAAGGAGCCCUCCAUUCAUCUAAGAAGCAAAAUGAACUAGCAGAGAGAGCUUUGGCAUCAGGCAAAUCUGAUUGUAAAUACUUCUAGCAUAUAGUUGCUCUUACAUUGAGUUGGAUUGCUGGAUCAGGAAAUAUUAAUAUUUUAAAGACAUUUAUUACCAAACCAGUAUCAAAAAUAUCACUUUGGUUGACCAUGAUACCAGCAAUGGAUACAUGUAUAUGUUUCCCUGAAAUGCUAUGAAUACUGUUUUUCUGAGGCAUGAAGAGUGAUAAAAUAGUAUCACAGUUCCAGCAAUCACACCUACCAUCAAAGCAGGAAAAGAAGAAAAGCAUAAAGCAAGAGGUUUCACUUGAAUUUUGUCAAGAAAACAAAGACUCGUCCAAAAUUUUCUUUACAUCCUGUUGGUCAAAAAUAGUUUGAACUGGCAGCUCUAACUGCACGAAAGGUUGGAAGUAGUUUAAGAGUGACCACAAUUGAGAAAAAGAACAAGGAACUGGGCAAAGUUCAGAGAUGAGCAAAAGCACUAGUUUUCAUGAAGAGUUACACACAGAAUUAAUUAUGGCCUUUUAUGAAUCAAUAAUAUGCUUGCCUAUGUUCAAUCAGGAUCACAUGAUGACUGUGCUACCUCCAUCCGUCACAUCUUUAUUCAAUCAGGAAAAGAGAGAAGAGAGGUCAUAGCAACCAUGUCUAUCCAUCUUAGUAACAAUUUAGUUUUCUGGCCUGGCGCGGUGGCUCAGGCCUGUAAUCCCAGAACUUUGGGAGGCCGAGGCGGGUGGAUCACCUGAGAUCAGGAGUUCGAGACCAGCCUGAUCAACAUGGUGAAACCCCUGUCUCUACUAAAAAUACAAAAAUUAGCCAGGCAUGGUGGCGCAUGCCUGUAAUCCCAGCUACUUGGGAGGCUGAGGUAGGAAAUCACUUGAACCCAGGAGGCAGAGGUUGCAGUGAGCUGAGACUGUGACACUGCACUCCAGCGGGGGCAAAAAGAGCAAAACUUCAUCUCAAAAAAAGAAUUUAGUUUUCUGGAGGCUACUCUCACAGACUUAUGCUUAGCAUCUGUUAUAAGGUGAAUUGUGUCCUCUUAAAAGUAACAGGUUAAAACCCUAACCCCCAGUACCUCAGAAUGUAACUCUAUUUGAAGAUAGAGGCAAUAAAGAGGUAAUUAUGGUUAAAUAAAGUCAUCUGGGUGGGCCUUCAUUCAAUCUGAGCUGUAUUCUUUAAAAAGAGGGAAAUUUGGACACGUACACAAGACACCAGAGAUAUUCACACACAGAGGAAAGACUAUGAGGGGAUGCAGGUAGAAGGCAGCCUUCUGCAAGUUAAGGAGAGAGACUUCAAAAUAAAACAAAAUAAAACCAACUCUACUGACACCUUGAUUUUGGACGUCCAGCCUCCAGAACUAUGAGAAAAUAAAUUUCUGUCAUUUAAGC